GAUGACAGGAAACAUUCUUAUCGUAGGAAGGCGCAUGGGCAAGGCGGCGUAGCCGUCUGGCGAAAGCAUCCCAUGCGCGAAACAGAGGCUCCUUCGGGGGCCUUUUUUAUUGGCC
rnacentral:sRNA from 1 species